GGCCAGCCUAGCUGGGACCCAUGGGAAGGAAUACAAACAUUCUAGAGACAACCUGCUGUGGUGAGUACGUUUACGUGUGUAAAGGUAGGAGUCGUUUAUUUUAUAACUAUGUGAAGCUGUCCCAUUUUGUGUUCUGUGUUUAGGUUUUCAUCCUGAACAGUGUACUAUGAAAAUUCCUCCAAGUCAACUGAUAUAAAGAGGAAAAAUUAUAAUGGUUUUGAGUAGCAUUCAGCGUAGCCUUGUAAAAACCUCUGUGGACUUCAGUUUUCUUGGUAAGGUGAUUACUGUCUCUCUCGUGUAAGGUUGUCGUGUCAAGUGAAGGCUAGCUCAGGGGAAGUGCUUGGAGAAGAAGAGCUGAAUGCAUUUCGUUUAAUGGCUGUGUGACGUGGGGCACCCUAGAAAGCCAUUUGCCUGCUGAGGGGCGCUCUCUCUCCCUUCUAUCUCCCACUACCAACAAACAAUGCCGCAAUAAACACUUCUGCAUCUACCGCAUCUAGGAGUGCUUUUGUUUCCAUGCGGACUCCUAAGAGUGUGACAGGUAAAUGUAUUUUAAAUUUCAAAGGACCAGAUCGUUUGGUGGUGGUGGU
rnacentral:lncRNA from 1 species